UCCUCUAAUUUUGGUUGGCCAUGUGUACC
rnacentral:piRNA from 1 species